GAUGAACGCUGGCGGCGUGCCUAAUACAUGCAAGUCGAGCGAACAGACGAGGAGCUUGCUCCUCUGACGUUAGCGGCGGACGGGUGAGUAACACGUGGAUAACCUACCUAUAAGACUGGGAUAACUUCGGGAAACCGGAGCUAAUACCGGAUAAUAUAUUGAACCGCAUGGUUCAAUAGUGAAAGACGGUUUUGCUGUCACUUAUAGAUGGAUCCGCGCCGCAUUAGCUAGUUGGUAAGGUAACGGCUUACCAAGGCAACGAUGCGUAGCCGACCUGAGAGGGUGAUCGGCCACACUGGAACUGAGACACGGUCCAGACUCCGACGGGAGGCAGCAGUAGGGAAUCUUCCGCAAUGGGCGAAAGCCUGACGGAGCAACGCCGCGUGAGUGAUGAAGGUCUUCGGAUCGUAAAACGCUGUUAUUAGGGAAGAACAAAUGUGUAAGUAACUAUGCACGUCUUGACGGUACCGAAUCAGAAAGCCACGGCUAACUACGU
rnacentral:rRNA from 1 species